UACGUAGGUGGCAAGCGUUAUCCGGAAUUAUUGGGCGUAAAGAGCGCGCAGGUGGUUAAUUAAGUCUGAUGUGAAAGCCCACGGCUUAACCGUGGAGGGUCAUUGGAAACUGGUUGACUUGAGUGCAGAAGAGGGAAGUGGAAUUCCAUGUGUAGCGGUGAAAUGCGUAGAGAUAUGGAGGAACACCAGUGGCGAAGGCGGCUUCCUGGUCUGCAACUGACACUGAGGCGCGAAAGCGUGGGGGGCAAACAGG
rnacentral:rRNA from 1 species